rnacentral:rRNA from 1 species
GCCAGCAGCCAUAUCACUCUGCAACUCACAACUGGCCACCCUCUGAAGCCCAGCAGGUGUGAGCCUGGUCAGUACCUGGAUGGGAGACCUCCUGGGAAAGCUAAGGUUGCUGCUGGAA